UACGAAGGGGGCUAGCGUUGCUCGGAAUCACUGGGCGUAAAGCGCACGUAGGCGGAUUGUUAAGUCAGGGGUGAAAUCCUGGAGCUCAACUCCAGAACUGCCUUUGAUACUGGCGAUCUUGAGUCCGGGAGAGGUGAGUGGAACUCCGAGUGUAGAGGUGAAAUUCGUAGAUAUUCGGAAGAACACCAGUGGCGAAGGCGGCUCACUGGCCCGGUACUGACGCUGAUGUGCGAAAGCCGUGGGGAGCAAACAGG
rnacentral:rRNA from 1 species